GAUGAACGCUGGCGGCGUGCCUAAUACAUGCCAGUCGAGCGAACGGACGAGAAGCUUGCCUCUCUGAUGUUAGCGGCGGACGGGUGAGUAACACGUGGAUAACCUACCUAUAAGACUGGGAUAACUUCGGGAAACCGUAGCUAAUACCGGAUAAUAUUUUGAACCGCAUGGUUCAAAAGUGAAAGACGGUCUUGCUGUCACUUAUAGAUGGAUCCGCGCUGCAUUAGCUAGUUGGUAAGGUAACGGCUUACCAAGGCAACGAUGCAUAGCCGACCUGAGAGGGUGAUCGGCCACACUGGAACUGAGACACGGUCCAGACUCCUACGGGAGGCAGCAGUAGGGAAUCUUCCGCAAUGGGCGAAAGCCUGACGGAGCAACGCCGCGUGAGUGAUGAAGGUCUUCGGAUCGUAAAACUCUGUUAUUAGGGAAGAACAUAUGUGUAAGUAACUGUGCACAUCUUGACGGUACCUAAUCAGAAAGCCACGGCUAACUACGUG
rnacentral:rRNA from 1 species